AGUGAGUUUUUCCCACUGGUUCUAACCGAACCGGUGCGAUGCUAUUGCUUAAAAAAAACCCGGUCUGCUUCUGAAAUUAUACUCUUUCUGUCUUUCUUUCUUUCUCUUUCCCUUUCCUUUUCUCUCUCCUUCGAUCUCCUUCUCCACCGGCGGCGGCCACCUCCCCCUCUAAAUAUAUACUCUCGCUUUCUCUUUCUAGAUCAAUCGUUUUUGGAGUGAGUGUUUUCGAAUUUUCUGGGUGGGUGUUUUCGGGUGAGUGUUGAGUAUUUCUUGGUGGAGUGAGUUUCGGUGGUUAAGGUUUAGUUUCAAGCAGGCGGCGCCUUCUAAUCCGUGUAUCCCCCAUUGAAGAGGCAGCUUCUGAGUCUUGAACAAGAAAGAGGCUGAUGUUGAAAAGAAAAUGUCGAGUUUGCUGCUUUGAAGGCCGGUUGGUCAUAGUCAGCUCAGUUGGCAGAAAUUGAGGCUGAGCAGGCUGUUUCCCUUAGAGGGGCCGAGUUGCAAGUCGAGGUGGAGAAGAAGACUACUCUCACUAGGACUGAAUAACUCAGUGUUGAGUAUGACAUCAAGGUACUGAUUCUAAUGAGUAUUUGCUUAACUUGUUAAGAGUAUAUGUUUAACAUUUUGUUUUUCUUAUCUAGUUCAGUUUUCUUUACUGAAAUUAUUAGCUAUUAAUGAUUUUAUCCUCUUGUGUAAGUAUCUGUUUAGUUGAUGUUUAUGCUGAGCUUUUGUUAAUAAUUUUUUUUUUUUGUCAUUUUUACAUGUUUGCUAGCUCUGUAGAAUUAUUGAUGAUAAAACUUGUAUGCUAUUGAUGUUAUGUUAGUCUCUUUACCUAUGCAUUUUCGUACCAGUUGAAUUCGGUGCAAUGGUCAAUUUGUAGUUUAAAAUAAGAAGGUAAAAUAGGCCAGGUUUUUGUUGGUUAGUUUGUAAUUUAGUUUUACAUGAUACCUUGAGCAAUGUGAAGAGUAUGUCCAUCUUCUAGGGUUUUGUUAGUUUAGAAUUUUCAAUAUUAUUAUAGGUUAUUAGUUCUGAAAUAUAUUGGCAUUUUCUAAGGUUUUGUUAGUUUAGAAUUUUCAAUAUUAUUUUUAUUAGCUUCUAAUUUUCUGGGUUCUAUUAGUUUAAGAAGAAGUAAGUUAGAAGUAAGACAAUUUCCAAUGUGGGAAGGUAUUUUAAACAGUAUCUCAUCCUCUUAGAUCUUUAGCUGCUGCUGUUGGAUGCUAUCUUUGUUUUGCCAGGCUGCUGAACUGCCAGCUGCGUGUUCCUGCUUACUGCUGGUUGUUCUGCCUGGUUCCGUUGUGGCGGAGCUACAGAAUCAUGCCCACUCUACGUAGCCCAAGAAAACCACGAAGUCUCUAAUGGCCUACCCCUUAAGCUCUACAUGACAAAUCCAAAUGAAAAAAGAAUCCCUCUAGGCUCCGACGUUUGCUGUUGUUGGGGAUGGCUCAAGAACUUUUUCGUGCGGCAAGAGAGGAAGGCAAGGGUGAACCUGAAAGGCUAAGGUGAUCAUUUUUGUUCUUGAGGUCUUGAUGUUGUGUAUGUAGGUUGCUGCAGUUGGUUAACCAGACACCAUUUUAUACAACCAAGAGCUCAUAUGACUGGAUUAUGCAGGAUUUUUUAAGGGACAGGACAAAGGUUCAACAGUUGGUUGAGUUAUUUUACCCUGUAGUUCGUGCAGUUGAUGGUAUUGUAGGGGAGUGUGUGUCGAUGAGUGUUAUACAAAUUAUUCCUAGUAUCACUUCUAAAGUUCUAAGUUCUAACGAUUCUCCCAGAGUAAAGAUAGUACAAUUGAAGUAGUGCUUUGAUUAAUUUGUUACAAUCCCCUUGUAAUUUUGGUAAUCUAUACUGCUUUUCCCCAGGUUAGGUAAGUGGCUAUUUACGAAUUAAUUUUUUAUAUCUAUUUAACAGGUUGAUUUGGAUUGUUCAAAUGGGCGCAAUACAAUUGGUGUGUUUACUCAUAAGAGUUUGUCAGUGCUGGUUGGCUGUUGUUGACUGGGUGCUACUGCCUGGCAGAUGGAUUUCUUGGAGUACCUGAAGGGAAUAAGGAGGGAAUGAGUGUAAUCACAUGUGUACUUUGUAUUUUUUUUUCUUCAGUUUUUUAAAGUGUAAUAUUACAAGUUA